GAUGAACGCUGGCGGCGUGCCUAAUACAUGCAAGUCGAGCGAACGGACGAGAAGCUUGCUUCUCUGAUGUUAGCGGCGGACGGGUGAGUAACACGUGGAUAACCUACCUAUAAGACUGGGAUAACUUCGGGAAACCGGAGCUAAUACCGGAUAAUAUUUUGAACCGCAUGGUUCAAAGGUGAAAGACGGUCUUGCUGUCACUUAUAGAUGGAUCCGCGCUGCAUUAGCUAGUUGGUAAGUUAACGGCUUACCAAGGCAACGAUGCAUAGCCGACCUGAGAGGGUGAUCGGCCACACUGGAACUGAGACACGGUCCAGACUCCUACGGGAGGCAGCAGUAGGGAAUCUUCCGCAAUGGGCGAAAGCCUGACGGAGCAACGCCGCGUGAGUGAUGAAGGUCUUCGGAUCGUAAAACUCUGUUAUUAGGGAAGAACAUAUGUGUAAGUAACUGUGCACAUCUUGACGGUACCUAAUCAGAAAGCCACGGCUAACUACGUG
rnacentral:rRNA from 1 species